ACCAAGGCAAUGAAGAGAAGAGUAAACAGAAGGGACCGGCACAGAGAAUUCCCGCUCGGUGAAAGGGAAUCCGGAAAGUUCUGUCGAAGAUGGACUCGGAGCCGAUCGGUUGAAUAAUUAAACCGUCCGGUUGCACCCGUUAUCGUGCUAUGGUAUUCAGGGCUGCGGCCUGCGUACCUGAAGAGGUUCGAUUUGUAAAAAUCGAAUAAAAUUGGGUGGUAUCACGGAAUUUCCGUCCCUUAC
rnacentral:ncRNA from 1 species